rnacentral:rRNA from 1 species
UUCGGUCCUAGCGGCGGACGGGUGAGUAACGCGUGGGAACGUGCCCUUUGCUACGGAAUAGCCCCGGGAAACUGGGAGUAAUACCGUAUGUGCCCUUCGGGGGAAAGAUUUAUCGGCAAAGGAUCGGCCCGCGUUGGAUUAGGUAGUUGGUGGGGUAACGGCCUACCAAGCCGACGAUCCAUAGCUGGUUUGAGAGGAUGAUCAGCCACACUGGGACUGAGACACGGCCCAGACUCCUACGGGAGGCAGCAGUGGGGAAUCUUAGACAAUGGGGGAAACCCUGAUCUAGCCAUGCCGCGUGAGCGAUGAAGGCCUUAGGGUUGUAAAGCUCUUUCAGCUGGGAAGAUAAUGACGGUACCAGCAGAAGAAGCCCCGGCUAACUCCGUGCCAGCAGCCGCGGUAAUACGGAGGGGGCUAGCGUUGUUCGGAAUUACUGGGCGUAAAGCGCACGUAGGCGGAUUGGAAAGUUGGGGGUGAAAUCCCGGGGCUCAACCUCGGAAC